rnacentral:rRNA from 1 species
UACGUAGGGUGCGAGCGUUAAUCGGAAUUACUGGGCGUAAAGCGUGCGUAGGCGGUUCGUUAAGUCAGAUGUGAAAGCCCCGGGCUCAACCUGGGAACUGCAUUUGAAACUGGCGGGCUUGAGUGUGGCAGAGGGGGGUGGAAUUCCGCGUGUAGCAGUGAAAUGCGUAGAGAUGCGGAGGAACACCGAUGGCGAAGGCAGCCCCCUGGGCCAACACUGACGCUCAGGCACGAAAGCGUGGGGAGCAAACAGG